UGUUUUGUUUAGUUCUAAAAGUGUGUAAGUAUUGUUUAUUGUUUUAUGUCAGAGAUUUCGGGAAAAAUAGUCUUGAGUAGUCGUCUACUUUUAUGUGUCGUCAACUGUACGCAAGUGAACUCUAAAAGCAAUAACGUUAGUUUUGGAUCAUCAUCAUCAUCAUCCAAGGAGACGAGAUGUUAUUAAGCGGAUUUAUGGAACACAUUCAAGAGACCGAAUGCAACGACCUGAGACAGUGCGAAAUCUUGAUGUAACCGGCAACCCAACAAAGACUUUCUUCGAUGCCUGGCGUUUGUGCGCGCGCUCUGGCAGGAUUUCAGGCCAAUGCAUCUACCGCUGAAGUUGAAGGUCAUUAUCAAAUGACUCCCACAUUGUGCAAGAUUAAAUAGAUCACGGCAAAU